CGCGGCCUAUCAGCUUGUUGGUGGGGUGAUGGCCUACCAAGGCGACGACGGGUAGCCGGCCUGAGAGGGUGUCCGGCCACACUGGGACUGAGAUACGGCCCAGACUCCUACGGGAGGCAGCAGUGGGGAAUAUUGCACAAUGGGCGCAAGCCUGAUGCAGCGACGCCGCGUGGGGGAUGACGGCCUUCGGGUUGUAAACCUCUUUCAGCUCCGACGAAGCGCAAGUGACGGUAGGGGCAGAAGAAGCACCGGCCAACUACGUGCCAGCAGCCGCGGUAAUACGUAGGGUGCGAGCGUUGUCCGGAAUUACUGGGCGUAAAGAGCUCGUAGGUGGUUUGUCGCGUUGUCCGUGAAAUCCCACGGCUUAACUGUGGGCGUGCGGGCGAUACGGGCAGACUGGAGUACUGCAGGGGAGACUGGAAUUCCUGGUGUAGCGGUGGAAUGCGCAGAUAUCAGGAGGAACACCGGUGGCGAAGGCGGGUCUCUGGGCAGUAACUGACGCUGAGGAGCGAAAGCGUGGGGAGCGAACAGGAUUAGAUACCCUGGUAGUCCACGCCGUAAACGGUGGGUACUAGGUGUGGGUUUCCUUCCUUGGGAUCCGUGCCGUAGCUAACGCAUUAAGUACCCCGCCUGGGGAGUACGG
rnacentral:rRNA from 1 species